rnacentral:rRNA from 1 species
UACGGAGGGUGCAAGCGUUAUCCGGAUUCACUGGGUUUAAAGGGUGCGUAGGCGGGUAAGUAAGUCCGUGGUGAAAUCUCUGAGCUUAACUCAGAAACUGCCGUGGAUACUAUUUGCCUUGAAUAUUGUGGAGGUGAGCGGAAUAUGUCAUGUAGCGGUGAAAAUGCUUAGAUAUGACAUAGAACACCAAAUUGCGAAGGCAGCUCACUACACAAUCAUUGACGCUGAGGCACGAAAAGCGUGGGGAGUCAAACAGGA